rnacentral:rRNA from 1 species
CGUACGAUACGAGUUUGAUCCGUGGCUCAGAACGAACGCUGGCGGCAUGCCUAACACAUGCAAGUCGAACGAAGGCUUCGGCCUUAGUGGCGCACGGGUGCGUAACGCGUGGGAACCUGCCCCUCGGUUCGGAAUAACAGUUAGAAAUGACUGCUAAUACCGGAUGAUGACUUCGGUCCAAAGAUUUAUCGCCGAGGGAUGGGCCCGCGUAGGAUUAGCUAGUUGGUGGGGUAAAGGCCUACCAAGGCGACGAUCCUUAGCUGGUCUGAGAGGAUGAUCAGCCACACUGGGACUGAGACACGGCCCAGACUCCUACGGGAGGCAGCAGUGGGGAAUAUUGGACAAUGGGCGAAAGCCUGAUCCAGCAAUGCCGCGUGAGUGAUGAAGGCCUUAGGGUUGUAAAGCUCUUUUACCAGGGAUGAUAAUGACAGUACCUGGAGAAUAAGCUCCGGCUAACUCCGUG